rnacentral:rRNA from 1 species
UACGUAGGGGGCAAGCGUUGUCCGGAUUUAUUGGGCGUAAAGAGCGUGUAGGCGGCCAGGUAGGUCCGUUGUGAAAACUCGAGGCUCAACCUCGAGACGCCGAUGGAAACCAUCUGGCUAGAGUCCGGAAGAGGAGAGUGGAAUUCCCGGUGUAGCGGUGAAAUGCGCAGAUAUCGGGAAGAACACCCGUGGCUAAGGCGGCUCUCUAGUACGGUACUGACGCUGGGACGCGAAAGCGUGGGGAGCGAACAGG